CUUGUUCAUUACUCUGAUUCAAUAUGGCGACUUUGCCACUUUUUCUAUCCCUACUCUGGCCAACUGCCUGUCAAUUGUUACUAAAUAGUGUUACAUCUAUCCAAUUCAAUCGAGUAUAUACACCAUUAUAUACACCAUGAAUAUUUAGUACGCGUGCCGACUGUUGCAACGGUGACGUGCCUUUUCCCGUUAACCUUGAUAUUCUGAUUCAUUGACCAAUGAGUUUUCUGGACGAUAAUAAUAGAGAAAAAUUUCCUGUGAAACAAUCGUAUAAGAACGGAAGAAUAUUUCGUUUUUUGGAGAAAGGAGUUAACGAAUAAUGGAAAAAAUUCCCGGGAUUUGCAUGCAGCCAUCAACCUACACGCAAUUCACGGAUGCGAUGUUAUCACAGACUCGCAAAAAAAAAAUUGUUGCACCGGAAUUCCAUUAAAAUUUUUUACUCCGAUAAUGAAAAUGAAUACGAAAGAGGAUAUUCACAAAGCUAUGUGCACACACUAGAGGAAAACUUCCUGUCAAACGUUAAUUAUUAAUCUUAACGUUAAUUAAUUGUUAAAAUGUAUUAAAGAAGAAAUAAGAUUUUCGCAUUAUAAUUGAGAAAUUAAAAAACUUGUAAAUGAGAAAAUUAAAAUUCAUAAGUAUAUUAUAAAUAAGUUAAUAUUCAAAGAUGAAAUUUUGUUACAAUUUUGUUUCUAAUAGAAAAAGGGAAUUAUCAAAUAAAAUUUUCUUAUGAAAAAAAUGUUGCCACGAUAUAAAUUUGCAGUGAAGAGAAAAGAAAAAUUAAUUAUUGAUUAUUAUAAUGUGAAUGAUGAAAAAUUUACUUGGAAAAAAGUAAAAUUUUGUAGGGUAUAACAAUAAUUCAAACGAAAAAAGAAGAAAAUGAAGGAAGAAAAGGUCUUAUCAUAAAAAGAACAAACUUUCUUGAUAAAUCUGAUAGAAGCAAAGAUCAAAAUAAAUUGUUUGAAGGGA